rnacentral:rRNA from 1 species
AGAGGUAAGAGGUACUACAGGGGUAGGAGUGAAAUCUUGUAAUCCCUGUGGGACCACCUGUGGCGAAGGCGUCUUACCAGAACGGGUUCGACGGUGAGGGACGAAAGCUGGGGGCACGAACCGGAUUAGAUACCCGGGUAGUCCCAGCCGUAAACGAUGCUCGCUAGGUGUCAGGCAUGGGCGCGACCGUGUCUGGUGCCGCAGGGAAGCCGUGAAGCGAGCCACCUGGGAAGUACGGCCGCAAGGCUGAAACUUAAAGGAAUUGGCGGGGGAGCACAACAACGGGUGGAGCCCUGCGGUUUAAUUGGACUCAACGCCGGACAACUCACCGGGGGCGACAGCAAUAUGUAGGCCAAGCUGAAGACUUUGCCUGAAUCGCUGAGUAGAGGUGCAUGG